CCUUUCAGUUACUGGCCAAACGCUCUAACCACUGGGCUACCUGCCGCCUGCAGUUUGUAUGUUUUACACGGACUGUUUAAAUAAUGAACCUGGGAAUGUCUUGCCAGUCAGGUACUGUGUUUAAUGUUUGUCCUAGAUGUACUGUAAAAGGCCCGGACCCUCCAUGUGCUGUGUGAAUACACAGGUUGGCAUUUUUUGGGAUGACUUAUGUACUGGAGGCAGCUCUGCAGGGUAGUCACUAGCUGACACAGCCACAAUGUCAUAAAAUCAGAUUUUAAACCUAAACUUAACCGAACUGCUAACCUUUUGCUUAACCUUAGCGUAUUUUUGUUUUCAUGAAUUUUUUACAAUGUAUAGCCAAUUUUGCCUUUGUCGCUGGCCCAUUAGUAGAAAUCGCUCAGCUCUGCCUCCAGGACAAGAUACAUCCCAAUAAACGUAAACUUCCUGCGUGCAUGUGACCUAACAGUCAGUAGACUUUUCUUCCACCAGAGAUAAAGGCACUGGCUUUGCGCCAUCCUCAUGGGGCCCGGGAUCAGCAAGCCGCACCAGGGAGGCUCUACUCCAACUACCAGCGACAGCAUGGAGAACAGACUCCUGCUCCAGGCCUCUGUGCUGCCUAAGGCCCUCUCUGUGACCGCAUGUGCAUCACAGCCCUCCUCCUGCCAGUCCCUCCAGCCCUCCAGGCUAACAUCCACCACAUCCUCCCUCUCCCCCACCGCCUCCUCCUCCCUCACCUCUCCACUCAUAAGCACAGAGAACCAAUUCUUAAAGAGGGGUUCACUCCUCUUCACUCAUUCCUCCUCUCUUCCCUCUCCCCUCUCAGUCCUUUGUCCUCUUCAUCCCUGCCACCCUCUAGUGGUGUCCUGCCUCCUACUGGCCUUCCUCCUCCUCCUGUUCUGGAUGAAUAAUGGGAGGAUGAGGAAGGCAGUCUGCCUGUAAGGACGUGCUGUCUUACUCUGAAGAGAUUUGUGUGGUAUGUGGCCCCAUAAGCCCAUCCCUUCUUUCAGUCUGUUUUUUGUGGUGUAGUUUAUCCAAGGUCCAUUCCAACACAGUCAAUCUUUGAAAUAAAAUACAUUUGUGAUGCUCAAUUUAUUGGUUAAGUGAUUCUGAGUCAAUAUGUUCCUCUGACAAUGUAAGUUAAUGGCAGUAUACAGAAUGUGUUCUCCUUCUUCCUCAUGACAUGUCAGGAUUCUGACUAGGACAGCCUCAUGGCUGAGGAGAUUGAGGUGUCCACAGAGAUGCAUGUUCUGGACAUGGUAUUGGAUGAAGAGGAGCUGGACCAAAACAUGUCAAUUGGGGAACAGGAGUUUGGCUUAUUAUUACAUGCCUUAUUAUUUAUUUUACUGCUGCUCUUUAAUUUUUUGUUACUUUAAUUUAUUUAUUUUUCUUAACUGCAUUGUUGGUUAAGGGCUUGUAAGUAAGCGUUUCACUGUUGUAUUGGUGCAUGUGAUCAUUCUUAAUUUUUUUAUUUGAUACCUGAUUAGUAAUAUUUGUAACAUUGCUGCCCCCUUGUGAUAAUAAUCUGAAAUACAGAUGUCACUAAAGUUGCAACAAAACUGCAUCCUAUAUACAUGGCACUGCAAUCGCUACCUUUGGUUGUUUGAGUUUACAAUUUCGUGUGCAUUCCCUCUUUCCUUCCUACUCAGAGACAUCUCAGAGUGUGCAGGAAGUGAUCUUUGACACUCUAGUGAUGAUCAUUAUAGGUGUGGCUGCUGGGGUGUUGGUCAUCGUCAUUAUCAUCUUAGUUAACUAAUACCAUAGACGCAAUAACAGGACAUUAGAGAUGGAGCUUCGCGAAAGGACAUGAGUUGAUUUCCACAAUACUUGGAACCCCCUUUCCCUAUCCUUAAAUCCUCCUUAGUUUCUAAAAAGCUCUUUCAUAGGUUAGAAAUCAACACUCUCCAGAUAGGCCUCCUCCACAAGACUCAACUCUGUCAGCACAGACGACAAGUACAGAGUACUUUCAUUUCAAACACUUGUUACUCGUAUUUUCAGUCAUCUCUCAUUUUCUUAGAGGGGCCAUUUUCAGUUAUUAGUUAUCAUCUACUUGUGAAUGAGUGUCUGCCAGCAAUCAUUUUUGUCUUUCCCUAAUUGUCACCCCACCCACAGAAUGAAGACUGUACACUCCUCAGACUAGACAGUGAAAUGAAAAAAAGCCUAAUGUCCCUUGAGGACCAUCCCAUCUACAAAGGCAGUCAAUUCACCCUCGGUGGGGGACGGUUCGAGAGGGUGAUUUGGACUACCUAGGCCACCCCGUCCUGUACCAAUCUAGCUGGCGACUCUGGCCUUCCUUCCUCAUCCCCAGGACCAGGAUGGCAGUGUGUGGCCCACAGACAUCCCCCCAAUGCUCAGUGACCUGGGUGGCCAGAGGGAGGGUGUGACCGAAGGGGACGACUGGGUCCACAGACAGGACGUGCUGGAGGUUGAUGAGGCUGACUGUGACACCAGUUCUUACCAGAUCUCAGCGGCACUCUUCAACCACAGCAAUGGGUUUCUGCAGCCCAAACCACACUCCAACACCAUCCUCCUACACCCCAGAGGACAGAACAUCUAGACAGGGGUGAAAGGAGUUGGUUGAAAAGGGAACUGGCCUCAGCUCCACUCUAACCCCAUGGUCAUGGUGGCCUGCUACUCACUCCUGUGAACUGAACUUGGAUACAGUUGGACUGAAGUGAGUGUUUGGCAACCUCAUGUUCACAUUAAUUGCCAUUUUUAGGUUGACUUUGUCCUUUUUUUCCAUCAGCAUGGGCUUCUUGUAUACAGUGCCUUCAGAAAGUAUUCACACCCCUUGAUUUGUUGUGUUACAGCGUUAUUACAAAUGGAUUCAAUUUAGAUUUUUUUUGUCACUGGCCUACAGACAAUAUCCCAUGUCAAAGUAGAAUUAUGUUUUUUGAUUAAACAUUUUUUAUGAAAAGCU